rnacentral:rRNA from 1 species
UCACGCAUCGCGUCUCCCCCAAAUCCACCUUGGUGGAGGGGAAGGAUGAUGGUUUYCCGUGGCUCACCGGCCACGGUUGGCCUAAAAUAGGAGCCCUCGGCAUCGGGAUGCCGCGGCGAUAGGUGGUGAACAAGGCCUCGGCCAAGCAAGCAACCCGUCGCGCACCGCCGUGCCAAUGUGAGCUCGAAGGACCCUUUAACGUUGCCUUAACGCAACAAAACCGUUGCGAC